rnacentral:lncRNA from 1 species
CGCCAGCCCCGAGGGGUGCCCUCGGCCGCAAAAUGCCGCGGGGCCUCAGCGUGUGGAGCUGCUCGGGAGGUCGAACCCGAAGCUCUAAGCCAGAACCUAAGGGGGCCAGAAGCUGGGAUCCAAGUCUACUUGUCCCACCCCCUCCACUGGAACUCCCUGGCCCCCAGCUCUGCACAGCUCCUGCCCUGCAGCCCUCGCCUGGCUGUGCUCCGGGAAGUCCUCGUGGGCACUUCACCCUGCUCUGCAGCCACACUCACACCCUAGAUCCAGGUCACACUAGAGGCAAAGACCCCACUGGCUCGGACUUCACCAACCUGGAGCAGGGGAGAGAAGCUAAGUUCUGACCUUUGAUCAGAAGAUGGGGAAGCCACACUCAACACGUCACUGCCUUGGGAGGUGGAUUUGGGGAUGGUGGGUCCUGGGGAAAAACGGGCUUUUGGUGUGGAAAUGACAUCUUUCCUGUUUCCGACCUCUGCCUGCCUCAUGCCAGGUGAGACACCUUCAUGCCUGUUUCCAUGAUUGAGAACAUGGGAGUACGCUUCUUUCCACCUACGUUCCUGGUGGAUUUUCACUGGAGUUGGGCUGCACUGUGGAAAA